AAUUAAAAACAAAUAGAUUGUUCUUUUGUCAGCUUAAUCAACACAGAAACUGCACUCUAAGACUCAAUUCAAUCAUAGAGUCAAGGAUGCAGUCUAAUUCUGUAACACCAAUCAUCCAGCCAUGUUAAGUCCCCACCAUCAGCUUACUGGGCCUUGGCAGGUAAUGCUUAAACAAGCGGAUGGUUCUUAUGCCUGCAUAGCUUAGAGUGAUACAGGUUUCACGCUGGGUGAAACCAAAGAAGAACUGUUGAGAGUGCUGGGACUACAAGAGGAAGAAGGAAGCUCACUAGAAUUUCUUCGCAGAGGCUACAAGGUUCCUCUCAUUAUCAUAUCUCUUCCUCUUUACAUAGUUUUUCUAGUUGUGCUACGAAGCUAUGGAUUUAAUGUAUUAUGAUUCUGGUAGCCUAUUUCUUUUCCACAGAAUGACUUCAGACGUGAUACCCGUUCUGCUAUCCAAUUCAAUGUGUUACUAUAUUGCUCAAUCUGCUAUAAUCCAAGUGUAGGAUAGAACAAAUUAUAGGUAAUAUAGUGUAAAAACCAUUCAGUCCAUCCAUAAUGUGCAAUCAUUCGGUUUGCUCUGUAAUACUCUACCUUCAUCAUCCUUCUUGUUCUUUGAAAGCUUGUCGACCUAAUCACUAAAUUGUUUUUGUGUUCUGAUAUGUGCAUUGUCAUGCAUCUUGUUCUACACAAUCAUAUACUCA